CCUACGGGUGGCAGCAGUGAGGAAUAUUGGUCAAUGGGCGGAAGCCUGAACCAGCCAAGUAGCGUGCGGGAUGAAGGCCCUACGGGUCGUAAACCGCUUUUGCACGGGGAUAACACCCUCCACGUGUGGAGGUUUGCAGGUACCGUGCGAAUAAGGGCCGGCUAAUUCCGUGCCAGCAGCCGCGGUAAUACGGAAGGCCCGAGCGUUAUCCGGAUUUAUUGGGUUUAAAGGGAGCGUAGGCGGGCGUUCAAGUCAGCUGUAAAAUCGCGGGGCUCAACCGCGCAACGCAGUUGAAAAUGGCAGUCUUGAGUGUGCGAGAGGUAUGCGGAAUGCGUGGUGUAGCGGUGAAAUGCAUAGAUAUCACGCAGAACUCCGAUUGCGAAGGCAGCAUACCGGCGCCCUACUGACGCUGAGGCACGAAAGCGUGGGUAUCGAACAGGAUUAGAUACCCUUGUAGUC
rnacentral:rRNA from 1 species